rnacentral:rRNA from 1 species
GUGUCAGCCGCCGCGGUAAUACGUAGGGUGCGAGCGUUGUCCGGAAUUACUGGGCGUAAAGAGCUCGUAGGCGGCUUGUCGCGUUGUUCGUGAAAAUUUACCGCUCAACGGUGAACUUGCGGGCGAUACGGGCAGGCUAGAGUACUGCAGGGGAGACUGGAAUUCCUGGUGUAGCGGUGAAAUGCGCAGAUAUCAGGAGGAACACCGGUGGCGAAGGCGGGUCUCUGGGCAGUAACUGACGCUGAGGAGCGAAAGCGUGGGGAGCGAACAGGAUUAGAAACCCCGGUAGUCC